rnacentral:rRNA from 1 species
AUUGAACGCUGGCGGCAGGCCUAACACAUGCAAGUCGAGCGAGCGGCGGACGGGUGAGUAAUGGCUGGGAACCUGCCUGAUGGAGGGGGAUAACUACUAGAAACGGUAGCUAAUACCGCAUACCAUCAGAUGUGCCCCGAUGGGAUUAGCUAGUAGGUGGGGUAACGGCCCACCUAGGCGACGGUCCCGAGCUGGUCUGAGAGGAUGACCAGCCACACUGGAACUGAGACACGGUCCAGACUCCGACGGGAGGCAGCAGUGGGGAAUAUUGCACAAUGGGCGCAAGCCUGAUGCAGCCAUGCCGCGUGUUUGAAGAAGGCCUUCGGGUUGUAAAGCACUUUCAGUGGGGAGGCGUUACCCGCAGAAGAAGCACCGGCUAACUCCGUGCCAGCAGCCGCGGUAAUUC